AAGGAAACAGCUGGAUUGCAAAAGCAAGGGAGGUCACAUACAGAAGAAGAGUGAUGAAGAAAUAAGAGAAACAUUCUCCAAGUCUGAAGAAAUGCCUUAUUUGGUUUCGCAGUUAACAGGUAAUCCUGGUCUGCCUUAUUAAGUCUUACUGUAAAACCUACCUUGAUUGAUCUUGUUGAGUCUUGAUGUCUAUCACUGGUUAAGUAGAAUGAAACACUAUUUAUCCAGAAGGACAGUUGUGGCUGAAGGCAGCCUCUUCACAUAUUAAGGUGUAACAGAGGCCGUAAGGUAAUGCCUGACCACUCCCAGUAAGGGACUGGCUCUCUUUGCAUCAGAACCAAUAGUAGCUCAGUACUAAAUCCUGCACUGUCAAUUUUUGUACUUUGAAAGGAUAUUCAGAGUGUUUUUUUGCCUACAGAUGAUAUUUUAACAUGGUAUUUUCUCUAAGUCUCUUUAUGCUGUAACCUCUAGAAGUUGGUGAUGUCCAAAGUCCUAUCAGGCCUCUUUGCAACAUGGAG
rnacentral:lncRNA from 1 species